AUGGUUAAGAAGAAGGUCUGUGUCAU
rnacentral:piRNA from 1 species